rnacentral:rRNA from 1 species
AUUGAACGCUGGCGGCAGGCCUACCACAUGCAAGUCGAGCGGAGCGGCGGACGGGAGAAUAAUACCUAGGAAUCUGCCUGGUAGUGGGGGCUAACAUUCGGCAACGGUCGCUAAUACCGCAUACUAUCAGAUGAGCCUCGGUCGGAUUAGCUAGUGGGUGAUGUAAUGGCUCACCAAGUUUACGAUCCGUAACUGGUCUGAGAGGAUGAUCAGUCACACUGGAACUGAGAAACGGUCCAGAAUCCUACGGGAGGCAGCAGUGGGGAAUAUUGGACAAUGGGCGAAAGCCUGAUCCAGCCAUGCCGCGUGUGUGAAGAAGGUCUUCGGAUUGUAAAGCACUUUAAGUUGGGAGGCGUUACCGACAGAAUAAGCACCGGCUAACUCUGUGCCAGCAGCCGCGGUAAUAC